UACGGAGGGUGCAAGCGUUAUCCGGAUUCACUGGGUUUAAAGGGCGCGUAGGCGGGCAAGCAAGUCCGGGGUGAAAGCUUUCGGCUCAACCGGAAAAGGGCCUUGGAUACUGCUUGUCUGGAGGGAGGUAGGGGCCCGUGGAACUUCCGGUGGAGCGGUGAAAUGCGUUGAUAUCGGAAGGAACGCCGGUGGCGAAAGCGACGGGCUGGAUCUCUACUGACGCUGAGGCGCGAAAGCCAGGGGAGCAAACGGG
rnacentral:rRNA from 1 species